CGGGGGCGGCGGCGGCAGCACGGGAGGCGCCGGAGCCACACACCCCGCAGUCGGAGAAGAGAGGAAAGGAUGGCCGAGAGUGACGGAAGGAAGGACCGGAGUGAACCACUCGGAGGAAGUCCCAAGGCCGCGGAGCUAUGCCACCGGGGAAAUGUCCUGGAGAAGCCCUGUCCUCCACCCAGAACACUUUAAGCAGCGAUAGCGGUGGGCGGCAUGAGGCUGCAGACCGGACGGCGAGCCUGCUUCGUUCAGAUGCUGCUCUGCCCUCCCGAGAUGGCAAGUAAGGGAGAAGUGUCCUGCCGGGCCAUCCACUUCAGGAUGCAAGCAUUGGUAACGCUAUGGCCUGACAUGGUCGCGACUGGAAGGGUGAUAGAAGGGUAGGUGUCAGUUUGAGGACAAACAAAUUAUCUGUAGGAACCAUUAGGAAAAUGAUUAAUUGAGUCCUUGUGCUAACAGGUUUUGUAACUAUUCUUUUCCAAUUGUUUCUUUUUCUCAAUAAAAUAGAAAAGACAUCAUCAACCAAGUCAAGAAUGAAGACAAGGGGUUGAAGUUUGAGGAGAAAUAAAUAUGAUUUAAUAAUCUAAAAUGAUAACUAAAUAGAAAAUGGAAAUUUUGAGCUUUAAGAUUAUUGGGUGUAGGUACCUAUUCGGUAUAGUAGUCACAGAUUUAAAGUUUUUUUUCUGGAAACAUUUUCUGCUAUGUGGAUGCAGGCCUGGAGUAAUUAGAGUGUUGGAUUUAAUAGGAUAGUGGUAACUACAACAGAAGAAGGGGGGACCAGGAAGAUAUAGAAUAUUGGCAAGGGAACCAUUGUAAAAAUUGACCUUAGAAUUAAAAUUAGAUGGGAAAGCAAAUAAGGACAAAAAGAAGAAGAGGAUAAAAUACAAGGAAAAUGAAGUAGGUUCCCUGUAACUUUGAAGAUGUAUUACUUACUAGUGUGUGAAAUGAGGUCACUACACUUAAGGCAUCAUGAAUCCUAGAAGCAGUAGCUUGUAAGAAAUAUAUUCCUUUUUGCUGUAGAACUCAAAUGCACUUAUAUUCUUUACAUCACUAUCAUUUUGAAGAAUUCAUGUUUAGUUUCACUGUUAUUCAAUCUAUUGUAAAAUAAAGAAUUUCUGUACUGCUUUGAGUUGAUUCUUUUUAAUUUUACUUGCUUCUAAUAUUCCAUGACUGACACCGGGCUUUCCACCAGGACUAUUUCAGUAGCAAAUCUCUUCACCAUAAUCCCCCAAAUUAUGAUAUGAACAAGAUCAAUUGGCAUAAAAAAGUUGAUUGUUUCAAUUAAUGCAAAAAAAGUAUUUAAAAUCUUGUACUCAUUCGUAAUUAAAACUCAGCAAUUUAGAAACAGG
rnacentral:lncRNA from 1 species